GAGAGAAGUUGAGUUGAACUGCGUGAGCGCAUAGAUUUUGGUUAUGUUGCUGUUGAUGCAGUUGCUCAAUACAGCAUCAACCAGCCUGUAGUUCCCAGCUAUAGGGACUGCAGCCUCCGAUCUCCUCUUUGUCAGCGGCACCUGGCUUGCUGGUGGGAAAAGGGAGUUCAAGCAAUCCGGAUUCUGCGAGCUCUUGACCAACAAACUCGAAGGAGAAGUCGCGCCAGUCUUGGGAAGGAUGCACCAUGAACAGAGCACAGGCAUUAUACUAACAAAUGUGAACUAUUUGAUUUCCUAAGGAAAUGUGUAUAUUUUUUAUUUUUCAUUGUGUGGAGAGAAGGAUUUAAUGAGGAAGAUAGGAAGGGAAUAUUUAGGUUUCUUCUUCUUCAUGGACACAAGAUUAGAUCUUGUCUCUGACCAGCUUGUUGCUGCUGCUCAUCAAAUAGUAUAUAUCUAUGUACAUAUAACUCUUUGUGAUA